AUAUUUUUAAUUACAGUUUUUUUUCUACCGAAUGUGUGAGAUUAUUGGAGCGUUACAAACAUUGUUAUACAAGAAUAUUUUAUAUUUUUAAUUAUAAUAAUCCUUUUUUCUAUCCCAAGAAUAUUUUUAAUUAUAAUUCUUUUUUCUACGAAAUCCUUAUGGAAGCAUUACAGAAACCCUUUUAUGUGAGAUUAUUGAAACGUUAAAGAUAUGAGAUUAUUGGAGCAUUACAAAAAUUCUUUUUUUAUCUCAUGUGAGCAUCCUGCAUGGGACUCAGUGGUACCAAAUGUAACAACCUGACAUGCAUAUUAGUACAAAUAAAUUCGUUGGGUCCAAACUAUCAGCAUAAUAAGCCCAAUUAUCAAUAUUAAGGUUCCUUACAUUUAUAUUUCUAAUCAUAAUCUCUUUACAUCCGAUGUAGAACUAUUAGAGCGUUACACAAGCGACGAUGUAAAUUUUUUUUUUUAACCUGAAUUCAAUUAUUUCGAAAGUCAUUUUCAAU
rnacentral:lncRNA from 1 species